rnacentral:lncRNA from 1 species
CAGUGGUAUGAGUAGUCCUUUGACCUACAGUAUAUUGGCUAUUUGUAGUGAGAUUGCUAUAGUUUGACUGCACGUCUACUUGAUCCCUAGCCAUUCGGGUCCUUGCCGCAUAUGUUGGCUAUGGUGGGUUCAAGUUCACUGUUAAGAGUAGAAUGCACUUAGAUGGAAUCUAUUAAUCUUAAUAGAAAAAGAAUAGUCUUUUGUGAUUCACAAGACUGAGUUCAGUAAGUCUUUGGCUAAAGCAAG